UUACCUCAGCUUCCCAGAUAGUGCACGCAGCGACGGAGGCCCACCCCUCCCACCCUGCCGCGCGUGCCCGCUUGGGCAGAUGGCGCCGAGCUAAUUAGUCGCGAUGCCCCACACGGGGUUCGGAUCUCCUCACGAGCAGUAUUAUGUCAGUGAACGGCGGAUAGUAUGGCUAGAAGAAGCAGGCGGCAAUCCGCAGGCGAGGUGACAGCCGAAGAGAAGAGCCAUGGAGAUGGAUGGCAGUAGGACACGCGGAGUCCUCCUAGGUGGGAGAGGAAUGGCCUGGCUCGGGCGCCAUGCGGGGCUCUAGAAAAAAGGGAAAAAGUACUUUACUGAACACGAACUUUUUGGAGAAUUGUUUCAAAACUCACAAGUGUUCUGCCCUGCUCCCUGGCCCCCCAGCUACGACAUGGUAGACAGCACUGGCUAAGUGAAAGGGCAGGGACAUUAAGUUUGGAGAAACCUUCCUCGGGUGCUGGGGUCUGCCACCGGGUCUACUUGGAUGUAAUUAAUUCAUUCAUUCAAUAACUGGCACACAGCCACUUUGUGCCCAGGUGCCCGGACAGAGCCAAUGGUCAGACUAAGACAUGGCACCUUCCCGGAAUGGGACAAGGUGUCAAUUAAUCCCAGAACUGCCGGGUAAUCACAAACUCUCUUCCUACGUUGCCUUCCUUUCGCUUUUGAACAUAGCUUGCAAAACUUGGGACCCUGGGAAGAAGGAAACAGAAACUCUACUCUGAAUGCAGCACACCCACCCCAGGUCCUCAAGGGGCGGGGGUGAAUGUUUUAAAUUAUUCUGGACAGUUCUAUCUUUGAAAGUAGAAAACAAAGUUGACCACUCCGAGUUUUCGGGUUUUCCUGCCCGAAAGUUUGUCCAACUCAAACUCAGAAAGGGUGUGACAUAGAAGGCACAGCCUGCUGCUUUUUCUUGGUCCCUGCUGGUACACCUCUGCCUCCAUGCUACGCUCUAUUUUUAGUGAUUUUUUUUUUCAAACGGAUUUGAAAGAACACCAGAAAGUGAUUCUACGCAACCAAAGAUCUCUUGGAAUUACGAGCAGGAAGCUAAACCUAACAAAUAGGCCCUAAGUUGCUGCACUGUUGCCCAGGCUCCGACUAUGUCUCCUCAGAAGUUAAGUUUUUAUCCACGACUGAUUAAGGCCUCUGGUCCAUACAAACAUACGCUUAAAGAAGUAUGAAAAACUCAAAGGAACUACUGCCCAGGUUGAUGAUUUUUUCUUUUUUCUUUCUUUCUUACUUUUUUUUUUUUUUUUUAAAUCUAACCAGAGUGGAUGAAAAAGACUUAACUGCUGUUCUGCUGGGCUUCACGGAAACUCUGAGUUCCCAGGUAUUGGCCAGCCCUGUAAGUGGUGACCUGAAGACAGGGACUACCUUUUACCUCUUCAACAAAAACUUCUUGGUUGAAUUUGAUUUAUCUGUCAUUUGUGAAAUUAAAGACUUAGAAGACAGCGGACCUGGCCAGAAAUUUCUGUUCCGCUCCAGUUGUACAAAAGCCUCUUCCUUCCUGCUUCCAGUGUGUAGAAGCACAGACACAUUGUUUUUAAAAGAUGGCUGCAGGCACAGACCCUCUUAUUGCUGUGAGCCUGGCGGAUACAGCUCUCCCUGCCCACCUGCCUGCAGGGACCAGCCUGCUUCCUCAUCCCCACCUUCUCUCUGCAGCAGUCUUCAAAUGGCUAUCACAGAGAAGGCAAGAGACCUCCCACAUCUUGUUCAUGUAAGAGCAAUAGAGGAGGUGGCAUACCAGCAUGGAGUGCCGAGGCUGGCCUUAGUGGGGAAGGGGUAAGUUCCUAGCAGAGAAGCCUGUGGCCUCUUCCUGGGAAGUCCACGUAGCCUUCCUCAGCGGCUUGUGGAGCAAACAGGGCAGCGGCAUCAGGGUAAGUACAAAGGUACCAUCCUUGGAAACAAGGGACCACAGUGUCUAAAACGUCCUCUCCUCCGUGGAGGCUCCUUGGAUUUCUCCUAGAAGCAUAUGUCUAUCUCUUUCCUAGCCUUCAACUUAAUGGAAGAGGAUGAACUCCUGAACUCUGCUGCUACCCAAAGUGGUUCCCAGGUAUGAGGUUCCCAGAAACGAUUAGCCAUUUGUUAAAAGACAAAAGAUGGCCUAAGGUGUUUUUCCUACAUCAUUUGCCAUGUUGGUAGGGACACAUUGAAAAGUUCCCGUGUGCGAUGCCUAGGGUACUGGCAAAGGCGCAUGUGCGAUGCCUAAGGUACUGGCAAAGGCUCAUGUGCGAUGCCUAGGGUGCUGGCAAAGUGGGUGUGUGCGAUGCCAAAGGUGCAGGCAAAGUGGGGGUGUGUGAUGCCAAGGGUACUGGCAAAGUGCGCGUGCACGAUGCCUAGGGUACUGGCAAAGUGCGCAUGCACGAUGCCUAGGGUACUGGCAAAGUGCGCAUGCACGAUGCCUAGGGUACUGGCAAACCUCCUCUACUCUAAACUUCUCUUAAGAGAAUUAAAAAAAAAAUUCUAAAAUCAGAAACACCCCCACCCCCUUUUUUCCCUAGAAGAGGAAAACUGGGAUCUAAAGGGACAAAAAGAUGUGUGCAGGGUCUCAGAACUGGCUCCUGGCAGAAUAAGGGCUCACCAUUGUUAAUCAAAAGAUCAAAGCCCUGAAACUGGAGGCUGCUGGGCUAUAUCCCAUUGUAUUUUAUCUUUCUGACCUGCCUAAGGCCCACAAAGUUCCCAAAGUGGGGUUAUUUGUCCCCAGAUGUCAAUUGCUAAACUAAAAAACCUUAAAAAAUAUAUAUUCCUAGGCCUGGAGCGGAGCUACAUUCCUAGGAAAAAAGAUGAAGGGAGGGGGCCCAGAGUGCUGCCUGAGGCAGGCGCAGGCGCGAGUUUUCUGAAGCCAGGCUCUCAAUUGUAAACCCCGAGCGCCAUCUGCCAGCCAGUUCUGAACAGCUUUGCUUUGUUAAGUUUUUCCUGCUUCCAGCCUUAAACGGUGGGUGGGUGUUCUACUUUCUUUCUGUUAAAAUGGAUGUGUAUUUUAUAAACUCUGGCUCAGAAGUGCUACCCCCCUACACAAAAAGAUCCUACUUUAAAAAAAAAUCUGAAAAUAGAAAGAAAAAUAAAGUAGGGAGAAAAAAAAAAGAAAGAAUGGGAAGAGGACAAACAGAUAAAAUUCCUCAGGGGCUUUUACUUCUUCCCUGGGUUCUGCACUCUGUGAACUUGGGGUGGAAAUGAGAUGGACUCCCUUCUCUCCCUAAGGUAGCCACGCUGGCCCUUCCUCCUCCCUGGAGAUCCCACUCCCUCACUGGAACCUUCCUUAAUGUGUGAUCUCACAGGAGUUUGGGGUGAAGGUCUUUGCUUCCUGUCACCUUGAGUUUCGGGGUGAGCGUUAGCUACAAGAGUUUUAGAUUUGUCUGACCAAUAAGUAUGAGUUUUCUGCUUGGACCCCACUUUCUGUAAUGUUCCUGUCCUAACCCCACCUUGGUAAAACUUUAUAUACACCAAGGCGGGCAUAGGAUGUCUCCGGCUUCCUCGUAAACAACUCAGCAAAUUUGGUUCCUUUUGACCAUGGCAGAACCUCGGGUCAACCUGAAGCCUUGUCAAUACUUCAAGACUCAUCGACAGCUUUUGUACAUCACUUGACAAGUACAUGGAAUCCUAAAAUCAACCAAGGUUCCAGGAAAUCCCCCCAGGCCUAAGCUGGUGCUUUCUCCAUCAUUCUGGGACCCUCUUCGGAAGCUGGGGCUCCUCUGCUCACCCCCACCCCCAUUAUCAGACAACCUUCUUGGGAAGGCCACAAUGUGGAGUCUCAUUGGGAAAUUUCCAAAUACUCCCACUAGAGAGAGGGGUCCCUCUUAAGUGUCCGUCUUAAGUCCUCACUUGCAUGUCUGCUUGGUGAAACAAAAUGACCUGCACUUCCCUUCUAACAGUGGAAAGGAAAGAACCUGAAGCCGCGUGACAGUAAUGGAUAAACAGCCCAGAGGGUUUGGCUACCCAACUUUAAAAAAAAUUUCCCCCUAACAUCUGGCAUUGGAUUUUGGGUUCUGCCCUGAGUCUUCUAAGCAUUUCCUUGGAAAGAUGUUGUACUUGGUCCCAGGCAAAGUCUCAAAAUCAACAUUCUGAGGUUUUCCCCUGAGUCACUUCUAGGACUGCUCACUGAGGAGUUUUCCUGUUAGGGGCACUUCAGUAAGCAGAGCCUGGGACACUCAGGUGAGUCUGCAGAAAGUUCUGAUUUCAAGCGAUACUUUCCCACCUUCCAUGGCUAAUUUUGGGGUAUAAAAAUCUUCUGUUCCUUAAGAGGGGAAAAAAGAUAGGGAAAGUCUUAUUUUUAAAAAGUCAGAAGCUGGGAGUGCAGUUCGGGGACAGCAUGGCAUGAAGCCCUGAAUUCAAUCCCCAGCAGACAGAGAGAGAGGUAAGGCACAAGCUGGGGAGUGUGUGACAGCUGACCCUCAUUCUCAUGGGUAGACAUGGGUAUGGAUGCUGAUUUUAGAUGGAAAAGAGUCAGCCAUUUUAUCGAAGAUCAAGUACAACACUUUUGGCCAAGAAAAUUCUUUGGUCGGUUGCUUCUAUUGGCAUCAUUGUUUUCUUUCUAGAAGAUUUUUCUCUCCCUCAGUGCAGCUAUUCCGCUCUUCCUGCCACCACUCAAAGGUGACAGGUCACCUUCCCACGAAUGGAUGGCCGUCUUUGGAGUCCACAUCCUCAUGGUUGGUGUGCAUAGGCUAACUCAAGGCUCUUCUAAUGUCUGUAAGUACACAGAAGGUGCAAGCACGUCCCUUGUUGUCUAGACAUCCCUUCUACAAUAACAGGGUUUACUGGCACACUCCAGGCAGAGGUGGACAGGCUAACAUGACACCAGUUAAUGCAACCUAACAAACACUGUGUUUGGCGGUGAAGGGUUAAAAGUCCACAUGGCCCUGAUACUGCCUGCCCAUUGAUUAGUUAGAUAUUGACUUAUCAGAGUCCUAGAUCAAGUCAUUGUUUAUUUGCCUGAAAUAAUUUCCUCUUCUCUUCUGCUUAGGGUCAUCUAGGGGUCACUCUUGGAGAUUUGUGGAAAUUGCUCCUAUCUUAGAAUGCAACCCACUAACAUUAGUAUACACAUUGCUGACUGGUCCGUAGAGGGGCACCUUUUCUUCAGAGGACUUGUUUGUUGUGUACAAGUUAGGCCAUGUAUAUGUUUAGCAUCCUCAGGGCUAGGAUGGAUUAAAUCUAGGCAGCAGCUCUCAA